rnacentral:rRNA from 1 species
CAGUCGAGGGGCAGCAUCAUCAAAGCUUGCUUUGAUGGAUGGCGACCGGCGCACGGGUGAGUAACACGUAUCCAACCUGCCGACAACACUGGGAUAGCCUUUCGAAAGAAAGAUUAAUACCGGAUGGUAUAGUUUUCCCGCAUGGGAUGAUUAUUAAAGAAUUUCGGUUGUCGAUGGGGAUGCGUUCCAUUAGGCAGUUGGCGGGGUAACGGCCCACCAAACCUACGAUGGAUAGGGGUUCUGAGAGGAAGGUCCCCCACAUUGGAACUGAGACACGGUCCAAACUCCUACGGGAGGCAGCAGUGAGGAAUAUUGGUCAAUGGACGAGAGUCUGAACCAGCCAAGUAGCGUGAAGGAUGACUGCCCUAUGGGUUGUAAACUUCUUUUAUACGGGAAUAAAGUGAGCCACGUGUGGCUUUUUGUAUGUACCGUAUGAAUAAGGAUCGGCUAACUCCGUGCCAGCAGCCGCGGUAAUACGGAGGAUCCGAGCGUUAUCCGGAUUUAUUGGGUUUAAAGGGAGCGUAGGCGGGUUGUUAAGUCAGUUGUGAAAGUUUGCGGCUCAACCGUAAAAUUGCAGUUGAUACUGGCGACCUUGAGUGCAACAGAGGUAGGCGGAAUUCGUGGUGUAGCGGUGAAAUGCUUAGAUAUCACGAAGAACUCCGAUUGCGAAGGCAGCUUACUGGAUUGUAACUGACGCUGAUGCUCGAAAGUGUGGGUAUCAAACAGGAUUAGAUACCCUGGUAGUCCACACAGUAAACGAUGAAUACUCG